AAAUGUGGGCCACCUUUUCGUUUUGCAGAUUCGGGUCGAAUUUUCAGAAAACUGAUCAAAAUGCUUCUCGUAUACCAACGCCUUUCACGUAUUUCUUGAGAUACGUAUAUCCUAACGUACGGACCUAUCGGGAAUUAAAUGCACCUCUUGCGUUUUACGCAACCUCACUCUUUUUCGGAACUCGGAUCACAUCCGCCCCACUAUUUGUCAGCUCCGCUGUUUGCUGUCCGGCUUUAAGAAUUUAAAAUUUCUAAA
rnacentral:lncRNA from 1 species